AUGAAUUGGGUGAAGAUCAAUUGUGAUGCUAGUGUCUCUAGUCUUCAACAUAAAAGUGGGCCAGGAGGGAUUGCAAGAACUCCUACCGCUUUUUUAGCGGUUUGGAGCAAGCCGUACCCAGACUUCACUGACCCACUUAUCGCUGAGGCUUUAGCUCUGCGAGAUGGUGUCAUUUUUGCUAAUCUUCGAGGAUUUCCACGAGUGGUGAUGGAAGUGGACUGCUUAGAGGUUGUAAACCUCUGGGACUCGCGCCGCUUUUCGCGCUCACUGGUAGCACCGUUACUUCUAGAAAUUGAAGAGCUAUCUUCAUCUUUUUCUUCUUUUAUUAGUCAACAUGUAAUGAGAAAUGCUAACACCUCCUCCCACCUGUGUGCAAAACAUGCUUGUACACUGGAGGUGACGGGAUGUUGGAUGGACCCCCGCCCCCUCCCCGCCCUGUUUCCUCUUGACCAGCGUUCUCGCUGGAGCUAUUGA
rnacentral:rRNA from 1 species